UUGCCAGCCCGCUCAGAACUCAAGGAAUUGACGGGGCCGCACAAGCGGAGGAGCAUGUGGUUUAAUUCGAUGAUACGCGAGGAACCUUACCUGGGCUCGAACGUAAGAUGACUGUAGGUGAAAGCUUACAUCUCUUCGGAGCAUUUUACGAGGUGCUGCAUGGUUGUCGUCAGCUCGUGCCGUGAGGUGUCGGGUUAAGUCCCAUAACGAGCGCAACCCCUACCUUUAGUUGCCAUCAGGUUAAGCUGGGGACUCUAAAGGAACUGCCUACGCAAGUAGUGAGGAAGGCGGGGAUGACGUCAAAUCAGCACGGCCCUUACGUCCAGGGCUACACACGUGCUACAAUGGCCGAUACAGAGGGCAGCUACCUGGUGACAGGAUGCAAAUCUCCAAAGUCGGUCUCAGUUCGGAUCGGAGUCUGCAACCCGACUCCGUGAAGUUGGAUUCGCUAGUAAUCGCGCAUCAGCCAUGGCGCGGUGAAUACGUUCCCGGGCCUU
rnacentral:rRNA from 1 species